rnacentral:tRNA from 1 species
GGGUGGUGAAAUGGCAGACACGCUAGCUUCAGGAGCUAGUCCCCGCAAGGGGGUGGAGGUUCGAGUCCUCUCUCCA